AUAUCAUUUUGAGAGCAAUUUCGAAGUAAUCCCUUGUAAAGUUCGCAUGCUUGAUAAAGUGAUUCACCCGGUUUUUGCUCAAAUUUGGUUAUCGCCUUCUUGAUUUU